rnacentral:rRNA from 1 species
AACGAACGCUGGCGGCGCGCCUAAUACAUGCAAGUCGAGCGAGAAGACGUAGCAAUACGUUUGUAAAGCGGCGAACGGGUGAGGAAUACAUGGGCAACCUACCCUCGAGUGGGGAAUAACUAGCCGAAAGGUUAGCUAAUACCGCGUACGCUCCUUGGACUUCGGUUCAGGGAGGAAAGCGAUACCGUGGGUAUCGCGCUCUUGGAUGGGCUCAUGUCCUAUCAGCUUGUUGGUGAGGUAACGGCUCACCAAGGCUUCGACGGGUAGCUGGUCUGAGAGGACGAUCAGCCACACUGGCACUGCGACACGGGCCAGACUCCUACGGGAGGCAGCAGUAAGGAAUAUUGCGCAAUGGGCGAAAGCCUGACGCAGCGACGCCGCGUGGGGGAUGAAGGUCUUC